GACGAACGCUGGCGGCGUGCCUAAUACAUGCAAGUCGAGCGAAACGGCGGAUGGGUGAGUAACGCGUGGGUAACCUGCCCUUAAGUCUGGGAUACCAUUUGGAAACCGAUGCUCAUACCGGAUACUACAGGAUGGACCUGCGAUGCAUUAGCUAGUUGGUAAGGUAACGGGUUACCAAGGCGAUGAUGAAUAUCCGAGUGGAGAGACUGAUGGGCCACAUUGGGAGUGAGAAACGGCCCAAACUCCGACGGGAGGAAGAAGUAGGGAAUCUUCCAAAAUGGACGAAAGUCUGAUGGAGCAACGCCGCGGGAGUGAAGAAGGUUUUCGGAGCGUAAAGCUCUGUUGUUGGUGAAGCGGUAAUCAACCAGAAAGGCACGGCUAACUCCGUGCCAGCAGCCGCGGUAAUUC
rnacentral:rRNA from 1 species